rnacentral:rRNA from 1 species
AUGCGCUUGUCGCAUCACACAACUUUGCUGCCUCACGCAACACUGCAGCUUCACACUGCCAUCGGCAUCUCGCCGUGCUCACCGCAUCGCACGGCAGUUUGGCAUAUCUCCUUCUUGCCAUGCCUUUGUCGAAGCAACACCGGACUAGCUACUCUAGACCAUCUACACUAUAUGCAAAACUUAAAACAAAUAUGCAGAUACAAAACAUCAAGAUUAGUUCUAAUAUUCACCCUCCUAAUCUUGAUGUCAGUCUUCGACGCGGAUCACCCACAGCUUCUUGUCGACGCCAUCGUAGCGCCGCAGACCACCGCACUCCAUCUUGUUGUGGACGACGCCAUCGCAGCGGUGGUCACAACCACGCACCACCUUAUCGUGGUCGAUGGCGUCAUAGCGCCCAUUACUACGUCCUCUUGCCGCACCCGGCGACCACCUCUUGACGUGGACGACGCCUUAACGACGCCGAUUGCCACGUCGUCUUUUCACAACAGCUUCGCGCCGUCAAAGCCACUAGCGGCCUCGCACCGCCACAGACCUCCUAGCGGCAUUGCACCGCCACCGACCUCCUAG